UUUUUUUUGUUUUGCCAAGACUGCUCACCAGUCUUUGCUAACAUCAAGAAAUUGCUAUGGGAAGAAAACAAAGCAUUGCACAUUAAGGUGAUAGCUAUUCUUGGUCAAAAGCCACUAUAAAAAAGCCAAAUGAAAUGAGAGAUUAAUUUCCAUUGCGAAUUUGCAGCUAAUGCCACAGGGCUGUGCAGCUUCUUUUUCUCAGCUUGUAGGAGCACGUGCUCAGCUGAAGUUUAAUGAUAUUUUCUUGCACGAGCCACAGUAACAGAAAAAGCCUUGUUUUGAUACCUAAUUAAAUGUGAACAAGCCGUUUUGGAUGUUAGCAACUUAUGACAUAUCUGCUUCCGGAUAUUAAAUACAAGUUGUCGUGUGUGGGUGUAGAAUUGCUGACCCAAAGCUUUUGCGUUAAGAAAUAAAAACUCUGCAUUUGGUCAGACAGGGUGGCGAGUGUGGGGUCCCGAGAAGAGAGCCGUGGAGCUCCGAAUAUUGUAAGAUGCAAUGACAGGCAUCAGAAUUCCAGAGGUGGUUACUUGGUGCCAGUCCUUCUACAGUGCAAGGGGUUCUUGAGGGCUGGCGAAAAAUAACUGGAAGGAGAGAAAGGCAGAAGGGAGGAAGAGGAAGGCAGCCCCUGCUCUCCUCCUUGCUCUUUCUUGUCCCCAUGCUCAGUGGAGCACUGCCCUACUUUGCACAGCCCACGUCACGGAAGUCCGAGGCCCGCUGACCACACUGCCUGGAUGUCUUCCACAAUCCAAUCCCUCUGGGCCGGCCCUUCCUAUUGCCCCCUCCCCAGCCUGCACGCACACUGUCAUCUGGCUCGGCCGGGUCUCACCGGUCCUCCUCCCUACUCUUGCACCUUGACAGUGCUUUCUCCAGGGGCCACUGCGGGUCUCAUCAAAACGCACAUCUAUCCCUGUGCCCGGCACUCUGAUGACACUAGGCAGAUUUGCCCCACCUGCCCCUCAACCCCUUGCUGUGCACCUUUCCUUCUGGGCGCGGGUGACCCAACCCUCUGCUAUUAUGGGCUGAAUGGUGUCCCCCCAAAUUCCCAUGUUGAGCCCCUAACCCCCAGGACCUCAGAAGGGACUGUAUUUGGACAUAGCUCCUUCAAAGAGGCAAUUAAGUUAAACUGAGGUGGCUGAGGUGGGCCUUCAUCUGAUAGGACCGGGGUCCUGAUGAGAAGAGGAGAUUGGGGCACAGACACACACAGAGGGAUGACCCUGUGAGGACACAGGGAGAAGACGCCCUCUACAAGCCAAGGAGAGAAGCCUUAGGAGAAACUAACCCUGACCAUAUUUUGACCUUGGACUUCCAGCCUCCAGGACGGUGAGAAAAUGCUUUUGCAUUGGUUAAGCUGCCCAGUCUGUGGUCUUUUGUUAUGACAGUCCCAGAAAAUGAAUACGAUGGUUUAUUAUGCCUGGAACUCAUUUCUUGUGUCUCAGAGUCUAUGUCCUUGUUCUCUGUGCUUGGACCUAUGCCAUCCAAGUGGGAACUGCCGGCCCCAGGCUAGGACGCAUUCUAUGACAUGCACAGCACGUCGCACCUGUGAGGUUUAAUGCUGACUACCUGUUGUAGGGAUAACAUUUGGAUCUACUGUCUACUGGGUUAAAUAGAAUGUACUGUUUACGCCAACUUCACGUAGUUUUCCUUUUCACUGUGGCUCCUGGAAUCAUUUCAGGCCACACAUGGCUCCCCGUGUGCUCACUGGGGCUGGGUAGGCUGCUUGUCCUGGUUCAUCCCGUGCCACCCCCCACUGCAUCCCACUCAGA
ensembl:lncRNA